ensembl:ncRNA F56D1.15 ncRNA
UGACCGAUAGAAGAUGAGCUCCUGUGGGGAACAAGAAAUGACCAACUGACGAGGAACGAUGAGAGAUUAUUGGAGAUUUAAGAGACGCAGAGACACCGAAAACAAUGAUCGCCUUUUUUAUGGUCCCCGUUCACACUUUU